GUGCUCACUUCAGCAGCACAUAUACUAAAAUUGGAGAUUUUAAUACAGAAAAUUAGCAUGGCCCCUGUGCAAGGAUGACAGGCAAAUUCAUGAAGCAUUCCAUGUUUUU
ensembl:snRNA U6 U6 spliceosomal RNA